rnacentral:lncRNA from 1 species
AAAAAAUCUAAAAAGUGUAAAGUUAAAACUAAAUGAUAAUGAAUGAAUGGACUGAAAACAUGUUUCAUUUCUUCAUGUGAGUGUGGAACUUUUGAAAUAAUGGUAUGUGUAUUCACACAAAGGAAACCAGUGGCCUGUAACACAAAGAUUAUCAACUAUCGCAAGAGAAUAUAUUCAUUUUACAAUUGGUUCCAUAUACUAAAAUGCACAAACAAUUUAGAAAAUCAGGCAAGCAAUAAAUCACUUGCCCUUAUGUUACAAAAGCCAUGUCAAAAACAAAUCUUUGCUUACACUGGCAAAAAAGAUAGUCUAAACAUUGCUGUGUGCACAUUUAAAAAGAAAAUGGAGAUUUCAGAAAUACUGAUUGCAUGUCUGUUUAUAAAUAUAUAUUUUUUCUUUGCCUUUAGGAAUAACGCUAUUGACAUCAUAAGCUACCUACCCAAGAUUCCAGACUCCUCACACCAAUCCUUGACAGCCAUUGCCGAGUUUGUCACUGACAAUAUGUUCUUUGCUAACCUUCCUACAUUACGCAGAGCUUAUCUAUUGCGAAGGGCGAGCUGAGCAUGUAUUGUACAACGGGAAUGUACUCCUGCAACUACACAACAAUACACAAUCUAUAUGAAAUCAAACAAGUGGCUAAAGGAACAGACAGACCAGAAUGACGUUUGUUCACCGACAUGGUCGUGAAAUUGAAUGAGAAUUAGAUCCGCUAUAGUACUGGUAACACCACUCCUUAUCAUUGUCUUAUAUUACGUUCACUUUAUAAAUACGAUAGUGACAUAACAGGAUAAGUUGAAUAACUUUGUAUAACAAGAGGUGACCCAAUCUAAUGUAUGAGAUGACUUAAUCCCAGGUCACCUUAAUUUUACUCAAAAUGGCUUUCUUUAUCAUUCCCUUGAGAGUGCCAUUACAUUUUCCUACUAGAGCAUUGGCCUAAGACUGAUACAGGCUGGUCCCUAUCUGCCUAAUCCCUAAACUCUUCCACAGCUAUUACAUGAGGAUUAACAUGACACUUGUCCCCUGGUCAGACAUUAUUUCGUCGAAAAUACUCACCCUACUAAAAAUCGUAUUUAACAUAUUAGCAAACCAUGAAACUUCAACAAAAGGACAAGGUACAGCAGAUACUAGAGCUUCUGUGUAUCUAGUGCCAUAAUCACAUACUACGAGGAUGUAUUUGUUUCCAUUUCCAGUACAAGGUAGUAGCUGAACAAUAUCCAUAGAUAUUUUCCUGAAUAGAAUUUGAAUUACAAGUACUGAUACCAUAUUUAGUUUACUCCCUGCCCAGCACUUUUUGAUAAAAUCCACAGGUCUUAAAAAAACUCAGCUACAUCCCUCAAAUUACCAAGCCAAUAGAAGAUUUGCAUUAGACGAUGUUAUGUCUUCCAACUAUUAAAUGUCCAGCUGUUAAAUUGCCAUAGGCAACCUGAAAUAGCUUUAAUAUGUACUGCUUAAGUACCACAAUUUGCCUAAACCUCCCCCCUUUCUGUUAAAUCUUAGUAAACUACUUCCUCAUAAGGAUUUCAUAAAGGUGAAACAGCUUGUAACACCAAAAACAAAUGCCAAAAUUCCAACAUGUGGUCAACGUUGGUGUCUUU